rnacentral:rRNA from 1 species
UACGAAGGGGGCUAGCGUUGUUCGGAAUUACUGGGCGUAAAGCGCACGUAGGCGGAUCGAUCAGUCAGGGGUGAAAUCCCAGGGCUCAACCCUGGAACUGCCUUUGAUACUGGCGACCUUGAGUCCGGGAGAGGUGAGUGGAACUGCGAGUGUAGAGGUGAAAUUCGUAGAUAUUGGGAAGAACACCGGUGGCGAAGGCGGCUCUCUGGACCGAUACUGACGCUGAGGCGCGAAAGCGUGGGGAGCAAACAGG